rnacentral:lncRNA from 1 species
UAGACUGUGCUACUUAAUUGGAUAGAAAUUGUAUUCUUGGUUAUUUUAGUCUAAAGUUUACAUUUUAAUGUAACUUAUUGUUUUCUGUUUGUCCUUUUUUUUAGUGGGUGAAAAUACUAGAAAUAAGCUGUUCUGCCUUGAGGAAAAAGCUGUUCUAGAACCCUGAGAGAUCUGAUGAUCCACCUUCAACUUUUCAGAGAAAGGAGAAAUGCAAAGGAGUGGCUUCUUUCAGUCUUCAGUUCCACAGUUCAACCUCGUUUCCAUUCAGCGUUAAUAUGGAGGCAGAGGGCAUAUAUCAAACUGCACUUGGAGGGGUCAUUCCUAUUGCUCCUUACUGGAGACAUUUCUCUGAACAUGUGGAGUCCAGGACACCAAGAGAAGGAGGUGCAGCAAACUCUCCAGCAUGGGAAGGUGGCUCUUGAUUUGCUUCCCUGUAGCUGCCAUUUAUCAUGGAUGAUGGUUCUCUUACUUUAG